AGAGAGAGAGAGAGAGAGAGAGAGAGAGAGAGAGACAUACAACACUCUCGUGGGGACAUGCGGCCAGCAGACGCAGCCACGGACUCUUGUCAGACCUCGAACGGCAGAUGGACACUCCGGGGAAGGCGGUGGAAAGUCCUCCGGCGUCCAUCUGUGGCACUCAAAAUGGACGCUGCGACAGCACAGGCUCAGGCGGCCAUCUUGGUUUCAGCACGGGAUCAACGCUGAGAGGCAAAAAGGGAAAUGGCAGUUUCUUUGCCGCAUGCACCUCAACCUGCAAAUGCUCUUUUUAAUCUUCCCACAUGGUGUGAACACAGGCGGCACAAAUCCUGAUGAUUAUCCAAAUGUUAAAAUCUUUUAUCUGGAAAAAAGGGCUUUGAGCUAAAUGCUAACGUCAGCGUGCUUUUACACUCACUGCAAAUAAACAUGCUGAUGUUCCAAGUAUUUUGUUCUAAACCAAAGUAUUGAACACAGUAAAAGCGCUACAUGGAACCACGCGGCGUUUUACAGGGAGUAUUGUGUGUAUCAGUGUGUAUUUAACAUGUUAGCAGUCCAGCUGAAACCAUAAAGCCUCAUUCUAAUGCAUAUUACUCUUAAGUUGUAAGAGGUAAGAGGUAAAUCCAUUCACAAAUAACAAAUCAAAUUAAAGCAAAGUCUAAAAAAAAAAACAGUUUUGUAUAGCAGAAAUGCAUUAUUUUAAUAAUCUUUAGUUCCCCUUCGAUUUAACUUGCAGUCUCUUGGCUGCACAAAACAUCUAUCCACUAUGACUCUGCCAUGUGGGAACAGAUUGACGUGUUAUUUUCCAUAUGAGGGAUCUAAAUCUACAUCCUCACCCAGAUGGUCAAACCUGCAGUGUUGCAGGAUGUGUGAAAAGGGUUUCAAUAGGUCCCAUAGAGCUGGCGCACUGCUGACGAAUCUUACAUGGAACAUAUGAGUCCACUAAACAACCCUUUCACACAGAACGCCACAUAUUGGCAGAGCAUUUAUAGGUGACGGUGCAAGUGGGAAAAGGGCUUCUGUCUGCUGUAAUGUUAGAAACUCUUCUUCCACUUCUGGUAUUUUCUGUAUUCGAGCUGUGUUACAAUAUUCUGUGUUUUUGUUUGAGUCACAUCCUCACCUGCAUCCCAUCAGCAGUGGCCAACACUGACGGCACAUCCGAUACCCGGGGAACCUGCUUAUUUGUCACAUUCCCUCUGCGUGAAGUUGUUUUCCUCCUAAUCAUUUCCCGUCUUGGCUGCAAUGUGGCAGCCAUUUUGGCUCCAGUCGGAGCUGCAGAGCCACGGGGCGCCCAGCGGUUGCUCAGUAGUCAGUGUAGAUCCUGUGGGGCUGGCAGCAGCUACAUCUGGCUACUGGGUCUCUGCUGGCGGCCAUGUUAAUCAGGAUACAUAAUGAUGACAUAAAAGGAUACUGUAUUAUUGCAUUAUCAUAUUUUGCAGCUUGUUACAUUUAAUGUAAUGUACUGUGUCUAAUAUUUUUAGACAUAUUUGGAAUUCCUUUCUAACAAGAUAGGCCAUUUAUUUUCUACUGGCGUUUCUGUGUGUAGUUCACAGCCUCUUUGGGAUCUUUUUAAAAUUUCAAAGAAAUGUCUCGAAUGCCCACCUACUGCAAAGAAAAAAAAGCCCUCGGCAGAGUUAAUCCAAGACUGCACGGGUAGAGUGGAUGACAGCAGGAAUUUUAUGUGAAAUAAAAAUGUUUUUUUUGAGAUUCUGGGUGAGUUCUGGACCUGGCAUACAGUGUAGGAUUCUGUGUGUGUCAGUCUACAGCUACAUUGUCUGCUGGGUUUCAGGCCUGCACUCACACACAUCGAUGUCUAUAUUUUUGUGUUAUUCCAGGUAUUUACUGUAAAUAACAUGUCGAAUGAUUUAUAUGGAAGUACUGUAUGUUGGAGGAAGCAGAAAGCAUGGAUAAUUUGACAACUUUGUGUUUAUUGACUCAUCAUAAAACAUUCUUCAAACAAUAAAACAAUUUUAAAUGUC